UUGCAUCUUUCUAAUGUUAGAUAAUAUAGUUUUUCUACCUGGUUAUAAUAAGCUGAUCUUUACCCUGCCACUCUCCCCUCCUAUGUUAUUUAUCAUCUCGUUUAAUUUUUCUUUUAUAGGUGACAAUUCAUCUAUGUUCUCUGUCAACUCAUCUGAUUUCUCUGCAAGCUCGUCCGAAUCCCCCGAGCCCUGCGUGAGCUCCUCUGAGUCUUCUGUGAGCUCAGUAACCUAUCAGAGCUCAGUGAAAUCUGAGAGAAAGGGGAGAAGAAGGGGUGAGGCUGAAAGACUGAGGGAAUAUACAGCAGAGAUAGGAAUAAAAAUAUCGGUGGCUAGAAUGCUGGAAUUGAAACCCAGACUGAGGAAGCCGAAAGUUGUUUCCUAUAAGGGCAUGUGCUGAUCAUCCUGGUGCAUGUCUCAUCCCGGUGAUUAUCUUCUCUGCGAUCUUGAAGAUAAUGGUGAUCAGAGGAAAAUUUUGAAGGCUUAUGAAACAUCUAUAUAGUCUGUUGUUAUGCAAUACACCGGAUGAUUGGACUAAUUUUGUAGACAAGUUUAAGGAUAGUAAUACAAAGUGCGAGACAUCUUUGUUUGAAGUUAUACAAACUAAUUUCUUACCUGCUCUGAAAGAAAUAUACAAAGAAAAGGGUACAAGAGCUAUUGUGUGGGGUAUGCAGACUCGAGCCUUCAAGGAAUGCUUGACUUUGAUUAUGUGUGUUCCAGAAAGGAAUGUUCAGUGGCAGCCAUGGUUUAUCGUUUACCGGAGAUCACAAGCAAAAGUUUUAUUGGGGGCAUAAAGAAGUACUCAUACCUGACUAUAAGUCAUGACAAGAAAUUUGAUUGAUAGACUAAUGUUAAAGAGAACUUAAAAAAAGAGCACAUCGGUGUGAAUAAAGGAAUCGUAAGUAUAUUUUUAUUUUUUAACUUUUUGUUUGAUU